CAAGGAAUAGUUUAAGUAGAAUUUCAGCUUUGGGUGUUGAUGGUGGAGUAUAUUCUUCUUCCUUGA
rnacentral:tRNA from 1 species